rnacentral:rRNA from 1 species
UGGGGAAUUUUGGACAAUGGGGGCAACCCUGAUCCAGCAAUGCCGCGUGUGUGAAGAAGGCCUUCGGGUUGUAAAGCACUUUUGUCCGGAAAGAAAACGUCGUGGUUAAUACCCGUGGCGGCUGACGGUACCGGAAGAAUAAGCACCGGCUAACUACGUGCCAGCAGCCGCGGUAAUACGUAGGGUGCAAGCGUUAAUCGGAAUUACUGGGCGUAAAGCGUGCGCAGGCGGUCCGCUAAGACAGAUGUGAAAUCCCCGGGCUUAACCUGGGAACUGCAUUUGUGACUGGCGGGCUAGAGUAUGGCAGAGGGGGGUAGAAUUCCACGUGUAGCAGUGAAAUGCGUAGAGAUGUGGAGGAAUACCGAUGGCGAAGGCAGCCCCCUGGGCCAAUACUGACGCUCAUGCACGAAAGCGUGGGGAGCAAACAGGAAUU